UACCGCUCCUCACUCUGCGGCGCUGCGCAGUGCAGCAGCUGCAGAGCAGAGGCAGAACUCAGUUCACAGAUUACCAGAGCCCCAGGGGGGGGCACUUGUUCCCCCUUGCCCCCCCUGCGGACGCCCAUGCAAGCAGGAUCAGAGUAAGGG